GACGAACGCUGGCGGCGUGCCUAAUACAUGCAAGUAGAACGCACAGUUUAUACCGUAGCUUGCUACACCAUAGACUGUGAGUUGCGAACGGGUGAGUAACGCGUAGGUAACCUGCCUGGUAGCGGGGGAUAACUAUUGGAAACGAUAGCUAAUACCGCAUAAUAUUAAUUAUUGCAUGAUAAUUGAUUGAAAGAUGCAACUGCAUCACUACCAGAUGGACCUGCGUUGUAUUAGCUAGUAGGUGAGGUAACGGCUCACCUAGGCGACGAUACAUAGCCGACCUGAGAGGGUGAUCGGCCACACUGGGACUGAGACACGGCCCAGACUCCUACGGGAGGCAGCAGUAGGGAAUCUUCGGCAAUGGACGAAAGUCUGACCGAGCAACGCCGCGGGAGUGAAGAAGGGUGUCGGAUCGUAAAGCUCUGUUGUAAGAGAAGAACGGGUGUGAGAGUGGAAAGUUCACACUGUGACGGUAUCUGACCAGAAAGGGACGGCUAACUACGUG
rnacentral:rRNA from 1 species